GUGUAACUUCCCGGUGGUUUACGGACCCGGGUUAUUUUACUCAUUAGCGCCGUCUGGUGAGCCGGAGCGAGAGAUGGGUCGUGUUCCAAACCGAGGACGUAGUGCACCAAGUAGCUUUGCACUUCCUCAGGGAUAAAGGAGAUAUUUGGGAUUCAGCCGCUGUACCGCUCCUCAGCUGUAAAAGCACAGAAACACCCACUGAUGCUCUCUGCUUGCACAGCUGAUACAGAACCGAUGUAAACAAGCCACCCUCUGAUUUUAUAAUGUAUACAAUAUCUACAUGUACACAUAUUUCUGAACAAGGUCGGUCAGGUCUAAAAAAAAAAAGUUAACGUUUAUUUUUCUUGCUUGAACCCAGGCUGAUAUAUCAGUUAAUGUCUGUGCUCAGCAUGUUCUCCCCUAUCAACCGUGUGUUUGGGUUGUUGGUAUAAAAUAUAAAUUUUUA